GAUGAACGCUGGCGGCGUGCCUAAUACAUGCAAGUCGAGCGAACAGAUGAGGAGCUUGCUCCUCUGACGUUAGCGGCGGACGGGUGAGUAACACGUGGAUAACCUACCUAUAAGACUGGGAUAACUUCGGGAAACCGGAGCUAAUACCGGAUAAUAUAUUGAACCGCAUGGUUCAAUAGUGAAAGACGGUUUUGCUGUCACUUAUAGAUGGAUCCGCGCCGCAUUAGCUAGUUGGUAAGGUAACGGCUUACCAAGGCAACGAUGCGUAGCCGACCUGAGAGGAUGAUCAGCCACACUGGAACUGAGACACGGUCCAGACUCCUACGGGAGGCAGCAGUAGGGAAUAUUCCGCAAUGGGCGAAAGCCUGACGGAGCCACGCCGCGUGAGUGAUGAAGGUCUUCGGAUCGUAAAACUCUGUUAUUAGGGAAGAAAAAAUGUGGAAGUAACUAUGCACGUCUUGACGGUACCUAAUCAGAAAGCCCCGGCUAACUACGUG
rnacentral:rRNA from 1 species